rnacentral:rRNA from 1 species
CCUACGGGAGGCAGCAGUGGGGAAUAUUGCACAAUGGGGGAAACCCUGAUGCAGCGACGCCGCGUGAGCGAUGAAGUAUUUCGGUAUGUAAAGCUCUAUCAGCAGGGAAGAAAAUGACGGUACCUGACUAAGAAGCCCCGGCUAACUACGUGCCAGCAGCCGCGGUAAUACGUAGGGGGCAAGCGUAAUCCGGAUUUACUGGGUGUAAGGGGAGCGUAGACGGUACUGCAAGCCAGAUGUGAAAGCCCGGGGCUCAACCCCGGGACUGCAUUUGGAACUGUAAGGCUGGAGUGUAGGAGAGGCAGGCGGAAUUCCUGGUGUAGCGGUGAAAUGCGUAGAUAUUAGGAAGAACACCGAUUGCGAAGGCAGCCUGCUGGACGAUGACUGACGUUGAGGCUCGAAAGCGUGGGGAGCAAACAGGAUUAGAUACCCCAGUAGUC